UCCCGACAUGUCAUCGUUAAACUCGUUAAAAAUAAAACAGCGUAAAUUUAAUUGAAUUUCAAGCGAAUCCUUCGUAGUGUUGUGGUUUAGGCGUGUGCUCGUAUUGGCGUGUGCUCGUAUUGCGUGCGCCAAGUUCUGGGAUCGAUUCCUGCUCGCGCUACUAUUUUAUUAUUUUUUUUUAUACUUUUUUUUCUUCGUGAUUUUCGCUUACGCACCGCGUACGAAACGUAUAGCGUAUCGAAUAUGUUGUUGCUUCGUUCUUAAGAAACAACGCAACCCUUUUAGUGGUUUAGUGUUAGCUUUUAAAGCGUUGUCGGAUGAAUAGCCGUGAAGCAGGAAGAUCCGGUGUCGGACGAAUAUCCACGGGGAACAAUUUUUCCCGGCAUUACCAAAUUUUCUCCAUUUAUCCAACUUUUUUUUCUUAAAUCCGAAAGUUUGGUACCAUUCUCUAAAAUUUUUGUCAAUUUAGCUCAUUCUUCUCCAAAUCAUAGUUAAUAUAGAAGACCUAUAUUAACUAUGUCCAAAUUCACACUUAUUUUUGUUAAUUAACUUUCUCUGGGCAUAGAAAUUACUGGAAUUUGUGUUCAUUUACCCGAAUUUCUUCUGCAAAUCUACCUGGAUUUACCUGAAAUUGCCCACAUGAGCAAUUAUUGGGGGGGGGGGGUGUUACACCCCCACACCCCCCGGUCGGCACGGCCCUGCGCGCGAGUGGUUUUAGACACAAUAAAAC